rnacentral:rRNA from 1 species
AGAGUUUGAUCCUGGCUCAGGACGAACGCUGGCGGCGUGCCUAACACAUGCAAGUCGAGCGAUUCUCUUCGGAGAAGAGCGGCGGACGGGUGAGUAACGCGUGGGUAACCUGCCCUGUACACACGGAUAACAUACCGAAAGGUAUGCUAAUACGGGAUAAUAUAUAAGAGUCGCAUGACUUUUAUAUCAAAGAUUUUUCGGUACAGGAUGGACCCGCGUCUGAUUAGCUUGUUGGCGGGGUAACGGCCCACCAAGGCGACGAUCAGUAGCCGACCUGAGAGGGUGAUCGGCCACAUUGGAACUGAGACACGGUCCAAACUCCUACGGGAGGCAGCAGUGGGGAAUAUUGCACAAUGGGCGCAAGCCUGAUGCAGCAACGCCGCGUGAGCGAUGAAGGCCUUCGGGUCGUAAAGCUCUGUCCUCAAGGAAGAUAAUGACGGUACUUGAGGAGGAAGCCCCGGCUAACUACAUGCCAGCAGCCGCGGUAAUACGUAUGUCGCAAGCGUUAUCCGGAUUUAUUGGGCGUAAAGCGCGUCUAGGUGGUUUGGUAAGUCUGAUGUGAAAAUGCGGGGCUCAACUCCGUAUUGCGUUGGAAACUGCCAAACUAGAGUACUGGAGAGGUAGGCGGAACUACAAGUGUAGAGGUGAAAUUCGUAGAUAUUUGUAGGAAUGCCGAUGGGGAAGCCAGCCUACUGGACAGAUACUGACGCUAAAGCGCGAAAGCGUGGGUAGCAAACAGGAUUAGAUACCCUGGUAGUCCACGCCGUAAACGAUGAUUACUAGGUGUUGGGGGUCGAACCUCAGCGCCCAAGCUAACGCGAUAAGUAAUCCGCCUGGGGAGUACGUACGCAAGUAUGAAACUCAAAGGAGUUGACGGGGACCCGCACAAGCGGUGGAGCAUGUGGUUUAAUUCGACGCAACGCGAGGAACCUUACCAGCGUUUGACAUCCUAGGAAUGAGAAAGAGAUUUCUUAGUGCUCCUUCGGGAGAACCUAGAGACAGGUGGUGCAUGGCUGUCGUCAGCUCGUGUCGUGAGAUGUUGGGUUAAGUCCCGCAACGAGCGCAACCCCUAUUGUAUGUUGCCAUCAUUAAGUUGGGCACUCAUGCGAUACUGCCUGCGAUGAGCAGGAGGAAGGUGGGGAUGACGUCAAGUCAUCAUGCCCCUUAUACGCUGGGCUACACACGUGCUACAAUGGGCAGUACAGAGAGAAGCAAUACCGCGAGGUGGAGCCAAACUUAAAAACCAGUCUCAGUUCGGAUUGUAGGCUGAAACUCGCCUACAUGAAGCUGGAGUUACUAGUAAUCGCGAAUCAGAAUGUCGCGGUGAAUACGUACCCGGGUCUUGUACACACCGCCCGUCA